GAUGAAGAACGCAGCGAAAUGCGAUAAGUAAUGUGAAUUGCAGAAUUCAGUGAAUCAUCGAAUCUUUGAACGCACAUUGCGCCCCUUGGUAUUCCGAGGGGCAUGCCUGUUCGAGCGUCAUUAUCACCCCUCAAGCUUUGCUUGGUGUUGGGGCCUGCUGUAAUAGGCAGCCCUUAAAAUCAGUGGCGGUGCUUCAAGGCUCUAAGCGUAGUAAUUCUCCUCGCUAUAGUGUCUAGUGGUUGCCAGCCAGAACCCCCCAAUUUUCAUGAUUGACCUGAUCAGGUAGGGAUACCCGCUGAACUUAAGCAUAUCAAUAAGCGGAGGA
rnacentral:misc_RNA from 1 species